GAUGAACGCUGGCGGCGUGCCUAAUACAUGCAAGUCGAGCGAACAGACGAGGAGCUUGCUCCUUUGACGUUAGCGGCGGACGGGUGAGUAACACGUAGGUAACCUACCUAUAAGACUGGGAUAACUUCGGGAAACCGGAGCUAAUACCGGAUAAUAUUUCGAACCGCAUGGUUCGAUAGUGAAAGAUGGCUUUGCUAUCACUUAUAGAUGGACCUGCGCCGUAUUAGCUAGUUGGUAAGGUAACGGCUUACCAAGGCAACGAUACGUAGCCGACCUGAGAGUGUGAUCGGCCACACUGGAACUGAGACACGGUCCAGACUCCUACGGGAGGCAGCAGUAGGGAAUCUUCCGCAAUGGGCGAAAGCCUGACGGAGCAACGCCGCGUGAGUGAUGAAGGUCUUCGGAUCGUAAAACUCUGUUAUUAGGGAAGAACAAACGUGUAAGUAACUGUGCACGUCUUGACAGUACCUAAUCAGAAAGCCACGGCUAACUACGUG
rnacentral:rRNA from 1 species